AUUGAACGCUGGCGGCAGGCCUAACACAUGCAAGUCGAACGAGUGGCGGACGGGUGAGUAAUGUCUGGGAAACUGCCUGAUGGAGGGGGAUAACUACUGGAAACGGUAGCUAAUACCGCAUACCAUCGGAUGUGCCCUGAUGGGAUUAGCUAGUAGGUGGGGUAACGGCUCACCUAGGCGACGAUCCCUAGCUGGUCUGAGAGGAUGACAAGCCACACUGGAACUGAGACACGGUCCAGACUCCUACGGGAGGCAGCAGUGGGGAAUAUUGCACAAUGAGCGAAAGCCUGAUGCAGCCAUGCCGCGUGUAUGAAGAAAGCCGUCGGAUUGUAAAGUACUUUCAGCGGGGAGGCGUUACCCGCAGAAGAAGCACCGGCUAACUCCGUGCCAACAGCCGCGGUAAUAC
rnacentral:rRNA from 1 species